CCCUUAGAUGUCCUGGGCCGCACGCGCGCUACACUGAGUGUCUGAGAUACGAGUCUGCCUGGUCCGGCAAGGUUUAGGUAAUCACUAAAAGACACAUCAUGCUUGGGAUAGAUUAUUGCAAAUAUUAAUCUUGAACGAGGAAUUCCUAGUAAGCGCAAGUCAACAGCUUGCGUUGAUUACGUCCCUGCCCUUUGUACACACCGCCCGUCGCUACUACUGAUUGGAUGUUUAAGCGAGGUUCUCGAACUGCUAGCGACUUAGCUUCGGUGAGGUCGCAGUGUGGGAAGUGAACCUAGCUUUGGUGUCUAGAGGAAGUAAAAGUCGUAACA
rnacentral:rRNA from 1 species